CGCAUCUGUGCAUGCAGCAUAUCAAUAAGCGGAGGAAAAGAAACUAACAAGGAUUCCCCUAGUAACGGCGAGUAAAGCGGGAAGAGCUCAAAUUUGAAAUCUUAAAGGGUUUCCCUUUACGAAUUGUAGUUUAAAGAAGUGUUUUCUGUUGAGGUUUUGGUAAAAGUUCUUUGGAAUAGGACAUCAUAGGAGGGUGAGAAUCCCGUAUUUGACCUUUACUUUCAACUUUGUGAUACACUUUCAAAGAGUCGGAUUGUUUGGGAAUGCAGUCCAAAAUGGGUGGUAAAUUUCAUCUAAAGCUAAAUAUUGGCGAGAGACCGAUAGCGAACAAGUACCGUGAGGGAAAGAUGAAAAGAACUUUGAAAAGAGAGUUAAACAGUACGUGAAAUUGUCAAAAGGGAAGCGUUUGACACCAGUGUUGUUUUUCUGAAAAUCAAUUAAAGAACUGUUUAUGCUAAGUUGUUUAGACUUUAUCAGCUAAUCUGUUUAGUUUUGAGCUUUUCUUUAAUGCACUUUAUCAGUUAACAAGUCAACAUCAAUUUCUUUUGCUGUAAAAAAGCUUGAGGAAGGUGGCUUGAGAUUCGUCUUAAGUGUUUAUAGCCUCUUGCCUAUGCAGUCGGAGAGAUUGAGGUCUGCAGCGUAGAUCCUUCGGGGCUAAAUGCAUUUGUGCUAAGUUAUAGCAUUUUAUAGACAACUUGUUGACUAUGAUUUGUCUUGUAGCUUACUCGCUUAUGUUAUUUUACCUACGCUUAGGAUGUUGAGUCAUCACACAUCUCU
rnacentral:rRNA from 1 species